AUAUUGCGCAAUGGGCGAAAGCCUGACGCAGCGACGCCGCGUGAGGGAUGAAGGUCUUCGGAUCGUAAACCUCUGCCAGCAGGGAAGAANGGUCACUGUGCUAAUCAGCAGUGAAUUGACGGUACCUGCAAAUGAAGCACCGACUAACUCCGUGCCAGCAACCGCGGUAAAACGGAGGGUGCGAGCGUUAAUCGGAAUUACUGGGCGUAAAGCGCUCGUAGGCGGUAUGUCAAGUCAAGGGUGAAAUCCCCGCGCUCAACGUGGGAACUGCCUUUGAAACUGGCAAACUGGAGUGUGUGAGAGGAUAGUGGAAUUCCAGGUGUAGGAGUGAAAUCCGUAGAUAUCUGGAGGAACAUCAGUGGCGAAGGCGACUAUCUGGCACAUAACUGACGCUGAGGAGCGAAAGCGUGGGUAGCAAACAGG
rnacentral:rRNA from 1 species